rnacentral:lncRNA from 1 species
CUCCCCGCCAAUCACCAGAUCCUUCUGCUUAGAGCUGCCUUUGAACUUCAAGGGCUCCACCUGGUAGGCUGCCAUCCAGUCCUGCCCAUAGGAGAUGCGGUUGAGGUACCAGGGGGCAGAGAGAAGAGCCCUGUAGCCAGACUUGGUGACAUUCGCCAUCUCCUCUGCAUAUGGCAGAUUGUUCUUCCACACGUGGAUGAUCGUGUCUGGCCUCACCUUCACUCCAUUGUCAAACACCUCCUGCC